rnacentral:lncRNA from 1 species
UCUCGUUAUCAAUCUCUAUUCUCGGUAGAUGAUGUUGUCAUCAUAGAGCAGCAGAAUAUGUUGACUUAAUCAUUUUCGUUAGAUUACUCGAAGAAAUACAAAAACGAAAUUUGAAACAGGAAGUUUUGAAUGAAAAGAAGUUAUCGAUGGUUCCCGGUAACGGACAUGAACAAAAUCCGGAAAUCGUAUUUUUGUUAAAUAAAAAAAAUCGGGGCGGA